ensembl:snRNA U6 U6 spliceosomal RNA
AUGCUCCUUUUAGCAGCAUAUAUACUAAAAUUGGAAUGAUACAGAGAAGAUUAGCUUGGCCUCUGUGCAAGGAUGACAUGCAAGUUCAUGAAGCAUUUCACAUUUAA